rnacentral:other from 1 species
CACCUUCUGGGGCAAGCGAUAGUAGGCCAGUUCUUGAGCCGAUAAUCACACGCCGGGAACCGAUUUUGAUGUGGUGUGCAUGUCCGUUUAGCGGAAAGCCUAAAAUGUCAUUCUGGUACCCACUUGAACCCUCGGGUUCGAGAGCGUUCACCUACAACGCUGCCCUGGUUGGUGU